rnacentral:rRNA from 1 species
GGGUUAGUAGGUUGGUCAUGCCUCUGGUAUGUACUGGUCUCACUGAUUCCUCCUUCCUGAUGAACCUUAAUGCCAUUUAUCUAGUGUUUUGGGGAAUUUGGGCUGUUACUUUGAAAAAAUUAGAGUGUUUAAAGCAAGCUAACGCUUGAAUACAUUAGCAUGGAAUAAUGAAAUAGGACGUUCGAUCCUAUUUUGUUGGUCUCUAGGAUUGACGUA